GAUGAACGCUGGCGGCGUGCCUAAUACAUGCAAGUCGAGCGAACAGACGAGGAGCUUGCUCCUCUGACGUUAGCGGCGGACGGGUGAGUAACACGUGGAUAACCUACCUAUAAGACUGGGAUAACUUCGGGAAACCGGCGCUAAUACCGGAUAAUAUAUUGAACCGCAUGGUUCAAUAGUGAAAGACGGUUUUGCUGUCACUUAUAGAUGGAUCCGCGCCGCAUUAGCUAGUUGGUAAGGUAACGGCUUACCAAGGCAACGAUGCGUAGCCGACCUGAGAGGGUGGUCGGCCACACUGGAGCGUGGACACGGUCCAUGCUCCUACGGUAGGCAGCAGUAGGGAAUCUUCCGCAGUGGGCGAAAGCCUGACGGAGCAGCGCCGCGUGAGUUAUGAAGGUCUUCGGAUCGUAAAACUCGGUUAUUAGUGAAGAACAAAUUUGUAAGUAACUAUGCACGUCUUGACGGUACCUAAUCAGAAAGCCACGGCUAACUACGUG
rnacentral:rRNA from 1 species